UACGUAGGGGGCUAGCGUUGUCCGGAAUCAUUGGGCGUAAAGCGCGUGUAGGCGGCCCGGUAAGUCCGCUGUGAAAGUCGGGGGCUCAACCCUCGGAUGCCGGUGGAUACUGUCGGGCUCGAGUACGGAAGAGGCGAGUGGAAUUCCUGGUGUAGCGGUGAAAUGCGCAGAUAUCGGGAGGAACACCAAUGGCGAAGGCAGCUCGCUGGGACGUUACUGACGCUGAGACGCGAAAGCGUGGGGAGCAAACAGG
rnacentral:rRNA from 1 species